GAUGCAUCUUUCCUGAAAUGGACGAGGGAGGUGACUGCAUUCAAAGGUAUUUGGGGUUUUAUGGUGUUAUUGAUAAGUGCACGCCGGUCUUGCUGCAUUCUGUAAACAGCAGUGUGCCUGUGCUAUAAAUAUCCCUGUUCAGAUCCAUUCCCUUUUCCUUCUCUCUAUUUAUAACCCCCAUCAAUGACUGCUGACUAAUUUUAAGAAACUAUCUGGCAUGGCCUCCGACUUCCUUCUUCUUAAAUAUAUAUUAUAGCUCUCUUGGCAGUGGCACCUGUAUAAUAUUAAAGGACUAUUAAUGGCUCUCCAUGGAGAAGUCUGCUGAAAGUAUGCCCUACAUCUUGUCUUACUUAGCUGUAAACACUGUCAGGCACUUACAAUUAGGUCUGCAAAUCAUAACUAUUGUCAUGAUGGAUUGAUCUGCAGAUUAUUUUCUGCAUGUAUUCCAUUUUGAACCACCUGGUGAAAAUUUAAUCAGUAAAAGAUUAUAUACUAAAGAAUGAGUAAGAUUUUUUGUAUGCUGUUGAUUGAAAAAAAAAAUACUUUAGUGGAAUAUAAAAAGUUGCACACCAUCUAUCAAUGGUCAUACAGCAUUACAGCUGUUUGUACUUGAUCCAACUAAUGUUGCUCUAUUGACAACAAGCAUCACUGCCUAUUCUGCUUACUUAGAAUGAGAUAAUCUUGAUAACUGUGGAUUAACCAUACUGUCACAUUCAUGAUAUCUAAACUCUGGUCUGAAUUUUUCACACAACAUUAUUUAUCGAUUAUUGUAGAUGCUGAAAGUGCUUAAUCAUCAUGAGUCUCUACUCUCACGUACGUCUUCAGGGUCUUCUUGACACCUCUAACUGCCAGGGGACAGAGAGCUGGACAGCUGGCAUGAGGGGUUUUUGUGUGUGUGUGCGUGUGUGUGUGAGGGAGAGAAAAAUAGGGGCUUAUGUUGUUUGUGUCAGACUAGGGAGGGGGCAGAUGGACCACAGCAGGCAUGAGAGGGUCUUGGGGACAGAGGGAGGACUGAUUUUGGACAAAAGGCACGGUGGCUGCCUGAAUAAGUAAUGAUUGCAGACAGUCUGAUGGAUAACAAUAGCAUUGUAAUGGACCACUCAUGGGUUACAUGGGAAACAAGCAGAAUGUGUUGCAGGGGCCACUGCAACCUGACUGCUGUCACAACAAUCCUUAAACAAGGAUGGAGUAGUAAUUAGAGUAAAUAUCUCUUUAAUGGGUCUUUGUCAGCAUAUCAUUGUGAUAUCUUCAGUGUUACAACACCAGUGAAAUCACAAAAAGUUUUAAAACCACUCAAUUUUUUAAUCUUGUGAAGGUCAUAGCGCUGCUUCACGUACAAAUUUUACAUGCUGAAUUAUAGCUUUGAGCGUAUUGUUUGAUGAACAAACACCCUCAUAUUUACCCUCCACAGACCUGUAAUUGCCCCCACAGCUAAUUGCAGAGCGUCAGAAUCAGACACAGCUUUUCAACACAACCCCAAACGGGUGGGGUCCACUUCUCCCUACAAUCUCUGCCUUUUUUAAAUCUUUCCUCACACUGCAGGCUGUUAUCUGUUGCUCAUAGCCAUCAAUCUCUCCCCAGACAGUGGGACCUCCAAAUCUGAGGCAGAAGUGACCUCCCUGGUUGUUCCCUAUCCCUGGUCUGAACCAAAAUGCCUUUAAAUCCCUUUCUGGAUUCAGAUCCAUGAAGGUGACACUUCAUCACAUCCUCGGUUCUGCGUCUUGCCAGGUUAAAUCAAACGAUCCAUAUGGAACAAAUUUUUUCUUGGCAGAAAAUGUACCUCUUAUUCUUUUUAGAUUUGUAUUUGUGGGAUUUUUAUUGUCUAUCUUUAGAUGGAAAAGCUGGAGAGAGACAGGAAAUAUAGUGAUUUAGAGAGUGGGGGGAGACAUGCAGCAGAGGAUUGUGGUCUGAAGUCAAACCAGCACAAGGACUACAGCCUCUGUUUAUGGAGUUUGGGCCUUAAAUGUAGGCUAACUAGUCCUCCUGAGCACUUAUUCUUAACCUGAAGCCUUUAAUUACUAUGUAACACCAACACUUUGAUAGUGGUAUUCAUUUAUCGUAAAGAUUUAUUAAUGUAUUAGCAACAUCUAGCUGUUUUUAUGUCUCUCAGGAAAGGUCAUCAUUUACCAAAGGGAUUCUUUCAGCAGACCACCCAGAUUUUUUUCUGUUAUUUGCAUUAUAAGGUUUUUUAAAGGAUACACAGGGAAAACUUGAAACUCUUUAAAACAUAUAACUUAAGACGGUGAGAGUUUGCCUGAUUUAAAACACUUGGAAUCCUCUCAAACAUUUGAGCUGCAGUGCAGUUAUGUAGAAUAUCAUACUUAUGUGCAUUCAAAGGCUGGAACAAAACCAUGCCCUAAAGUUUGAUAAAUCACAUCAAUAUAUUUAAUUCAGAGGCAGACACUGACUGGAACACAUGAAGUGUCAACAUUAUAGAUAGUAUAUUACACCAUCUAGUGGCUUUGAGCUAUUACUACAGGAUUGAGUAUCAUCCUCACAUGUAGAUAAAACCCAAGAAAUGAAAGAAUCAGGUAAAAAAAAACAUGAUAGUGAUGUGAAUCAUGGGAAAACCCUGCUUCAGUUUGAGGUCCUGGUAUUAUGGGUAAAGCCUGACUUGUUUGCUGAGGUGAUUCAAGUGUACAGUAACAGCAAAAGUACUCUUCAUGCAAAAUAGCCCAUUUCGGAAUAACAUACAUUUUAUGGUUGGAAUAAGAUCAUUUUUGUUGAUGCAUAUCACAUAGAUUAAAUUAUAUUGAAGUCAGUCAUGUGUUCCUGGUUUGUUUGUGAAUACUUACCCUGAAAAGGUAAGUAUUAUCUUUACUACAAUAUUAUAAAUCAGUCAGGGUAAAAAGUAGAAUAUCAUAAUGUAAAUUAUGGUAAAGAAGUAAGAAAAAGGGGCAGAAUGUUGAUACAGUUUGGGUACAACUUCUAUCAUUGCAUUUCUAACGUAUAUAAUAAUUUCUUUUAUUCUCAUCUAUCGUGUUUCGUCUCCUCCUCCUCUGUUUCACACUCAAGAACAUUUAGAACUUGCUAUGAUUAUAAUGUAUUUGGGAUUCUCUGCCAUUGAUUUAUAGGCUGUUCCAUAAACACAAUUUACAUGUUUAUUGUGAACAAUGGCCCAUAAAAGCAUUAAGUUGAUUCAGAGGCUUUGCAGAAUAUCUCCUCAUCUUACAUAUGGAUGGAGUGCAGCACUUGGACAUGACUCAUUAAUUUCACCUUAGGGCUAAAAUGGAUUUCUGUGUGGCCUAAACCUCAAAUACUCAGCUCUAUGUUUACAAAAGAUCUCUUUUUUGUAACUUGAUUUCAAAGAUGGGCAUUGAUGUAAUCUGUAUAGGCACUGAAUAACCAUGUUUGUUUGUUAUUGUGAUUUUGAGGUAUCAGAAAGAAAAAAAAGUAAAAAUUACAAGAGAUUUUACUGUUUUCUUUCUUUUCUAUUAAAAAUGCACAGUUUUAACAUCUAUUUUAACAACUUCCUCCAGAAAUCUUGAGGAACUUGUCAUUUUGCGCGAUCUAGUAAACACACUCUGUCAUUCACACCACCACCAAAACUAAUGAUUGUGAAAUUAGUUUCAGAGCAAUCAGGAGCUCCCCUGCUAAGACCCACUGUAUCCAUAUGCAUGAAAUUGCUUGUGUUAAUACAUGCUAUGAAUCGUGGGUAAUGCAGUGAAUAAUUCUGACUGCACACAAUAAUGCUGUCUUCUAUUAGAUUGGGGACUGUUGUGAAACACAAGCCCUGUGGCAAUAUGCUUGUAAAUGGCCAUGUAAGGAUAAUUAAGCAUUACACUUGAACAUUAAAACUUGCUUAUUUCCGAGAGCUGCGGGCUGUGGAGAGCUCUUAUUGGAAUCAUCGCUAUUUUUGGGCUUUCUCUAUAAUGUGUUCUCAUUAGUACUGAUAUGCAAAACUUUUUAAUCCCCCUUACUGUAUCUUUAAAAUAAGUUUUAAUUAGUAAGAGUACAAUAACAGUCACAAUCAAAAUUUAAACUAUAAUAAAAUAUACAUUUUUCGGUUGUUCAUUUACACAGCUCUGCACAAAUGCAAUCUGCACUUCCAACUACCCACUCCUGCUGUUGUGUCAAAGUUUUAGGCAACGUUUCCUGGACUCUGAGACCUGUGUUGGCUGCUGGAAGUCGUGUUUUAAAAAGAUAAACACAUUCCUCUGGACAGUGAUGACAAGAGAGAGCUGUCACGUCCUCCAGCUGUUGUGUUUGGGUAGAACUUGUUGAAAUCAUCGGUGUCUUGUGUUGUGUUUACACACCAUCCAGAACAUCAUAUGUUAAUCUCAGAGACAAGUGUCUGACAGAGUAUGUUUCAUGAGUGCAGAGGGCAGCAGGUGUGUUAUAGCGUCAGGAAUGAUGAGCUUUACUUCUUUGGUAAACUGUGUUUACUUCUUGGGCUCAAACUGGAUGCAGAUGCUAGAGCUUAAUGCAUUUGUGGGUGGAGUAGUUACAGUUCUUAUCCUGUUAUCAUCUAUAAUUAUUCUUUAUAUAUCACAUAGCCUUGAGCCAGUCCAUGUACUUGUAGAUUCAAGAAGUAGUUUAGCAACAGAGAAACAAAAGAUCUUAUAUAGUUUAUUAGGUGCUUAUGGACUUAAUAAUGCAAGAUGUUAAAGUAGGCCUAUAUUUCUUUUGUUGAACUGUGAGUAGGGGAUAAAUUACAAUGAGGAGGCAAAUUCUUUUCAGUCUCAACAAAUGACAAAAUCAUCAGUUCAGUGAUUUUUUUAUUCUCUCCUCUCACCCUAUGCAAGGAUGAUGCAAAAACGAUAUAGAUGGCUGCCAAGGGUGCCAUGAUCCAGAGGAACACUACCUUAAACCCCAAAAACUUGAAUGUGGUCCUGUAUGUGAUAUCAAAUACUGCCCGACUGACUCUUUUCCACUCACAUUCAACACUCCCUCUCUCAGUUACUCAACCACUGAAUUACAACUUUAGUUAAUAAAUAUUCAAUGACGCUGUAGCAAAGUAAGUUUAAGGAAAACAUUUCAAAACUUUCAUGAUUUCUAUGAUGUAGAUGAAGUGUUCAGGGGCAAUUAAAAAAGCACCACAAUUUGUUUUAUUUUUAUGUUAAAAAAUUAUCACCCUUUUAAGACCUCUCAGCAUAUUGUAGAAAGCUCUAAAUAAAACAAAACUGAUCAGUUUGGAUCAGUGUUUCAUUAUGACAUAUAAAAAUGAUGUUCUCUGUGAGAGAAAAAAAACUGUUAUCUCAAUGUCAGACAAGAAAAUUUGUUCACUCAGUUCUUAAUAAAAAAUCCUUGAAAAUAAUUUUUAAACUCCCUUUAAAUUUGGGUGUGCCAUAUCAUUAUAUCAUAUCAUCACCUACAGGGUGCCAAAGUAGCAAGAGGUGGCCCUAACGCUGUGUUAGAGUAGGGGAGCAUAGUUAGGUAGAGUGUAAGUCUAACCUCUUACCAUGAAGGGUGACCCUCAGCUCAAGCAGGCUACUUGAGGGGGUGGUUCUGGGACACCAGGGCUAACUGUAAAGCCUCCCAAAGGUGACAUGGGCAAGAAGGUGUCCACUUGAUAUACCUUUAGUGCCCCUCUGUCCCUCUUUUUGUGUCUCAGUUUUGGGGGACAGCAGGAGUCAUGUGGAGAGUAUUGGUAUGAGGGUGUGAUGGAGAGGGUUUUCUUUACUGAGUGUUUAAUCUCUUCAUUAGAGCUGAAUUAUCUUGAGUUGUUUCAAAUUCCUUCACACAAGCUUCUUCAAAGUGCUCUGUCAUUUAUUUCAUUUUAUUUUUGCUGCUAAUGCAUGUAUUUAAAAGUGUUUAACUACAGAAAAGGGUGUUGGAUAGAGCAGAUGAGAGAGAUACGUGCACUCAGAUUACUUUGCUUCAUUAAAAACACAACAUAGCUGUGAUGCCUGUACUCUUUCAAAUCCAUAUGUAAACCAUUUCCUCCCACCACCUCCUCCUCUCGCUCUCUUAAAACCUCCGGCUCAUUAGUGUUGCCUUUAUGACAUGGCUUUACCUAAAUGCCGUGGAUUUUUCCAUUCCCUCUCUGGCCCGCUCUCAGGCAGCUUGGUCUCUUACUUGGUAGCUCACAGAGGCUGAGGAGACAUUUUCUUGUUUCAGCAGCAUUCCUCUGCACUGAUUGCUGCUUAAUAAGAUGUGUAGACCUGUGGGCUUUGUUAGGUACUUAGAGCAAGAGGGGAAUUUACACCACAUAGACCGCCAGGGAUGGAAAAGUUUGGUUAAAGCAGCAGGAUAGAUCAUUUGAUUGUCGUUGCAUUAGACUCUCACAGGCUUCAAACCUUCAAUCGUGGUAGAAAUUCCAAAUCUGUGCUGACACAUUGUAUACACAUAAUUAUAAAGCAAAGAAAAAAUACCAUCAGGCCACAUUUUCUACACCAGAACUGAAGAACCACUCACUCUUGUCAUCCACGUUUGGAAUUAGUGAAUCAAGUACUGCACAACCUGGAGGAAUCUGAACAUGAAGUUAGCAGAUAAUUUCCCUUCUCUACUCUACAACAAGCCGAGGUAAUUGACUCGCAUAAGUUCUUUGAAGGGUUUCUAUUGUAAUUUGGAAGUACACACUACUCUCCUUUCGGCCUCUCAGGGCAUUACAACUUGGAUCCAUAAGGUGGCAGUAUAACGUAUUUGAAUGUUCCCACAAAAAGUGUGACUUCUUCCUUCACUGGUGCUCCUAUAAUUGUUCUUAACACUAAACCUCCAGACAUAUUUGUAACCAACUCAAUCUGUGGAGACAUCCCGUCAUUUGUUGUUGCAUUUUUUUCCAAUAUUUGCACAAAUGUUUUAGGGUGAGUAUCCAUAAUCAUAUAUGCGAAUCAACAUCACUGUCAUAUUUCUGGUGUUAUAAUGUGUAGAAGGAAGGAGAAUCCUAGACUUAAAGCUGGAGCUGCAGUGACUGAAGGCAGAGCUGAGAGGAAGGUGAGUGAUCCAGUUUUCCCACUGGCUCCUGUAUUUUACAGAGAGUAGUUAAGGGUGAGACGUUUUUUCCUGUUUAUCCAUUUGGUGGAAAAUAAUAUCCUGUAAAAAGCCAAUAAGUUUCUGUCUUUGAACUCGCUGAGGGUUUUUCUUCCCCGCUGGCUCAGUGCUCUUUGGGAGAAAUGAGGGUGAGCCGCUUGCCGAAGGACUUCCUAUCAGCCGCCUCCAACCCUCCACACAUGUUUCUGAUAGACCUCCACAAGCCCCAGUAAUCCGAGGGCAGCUCAUUCAGAGAGAGAAAGGCAGCCAUAUAAAAAAAAAAAAAAAACAGGGAAGGGUGAGAGGGAAGAGAAGGAGAUAUAGGAGGGAAGGAUGGACUAGAAAGCAGAGUGGGAGCAGGCCAAAGGGGAGGGAGGAUAAAAGGAAACAUUUUAGAGCAUGUUAUUUGCCUCUCUGGAGACAACGCUGCAGACUUCUCCAUUUAAAAUGGCAGUGAUGUUUGCUCCUUUUGGAUGGAGCCUUUAUGCAAGUCCAACUUGUAUAUAUUUUAUAUUCUAGAUAAAAAUCAUACUGCAUCUUUUCAGCUUUCUGCUAUACAUACCAGUUUGAAAAGGAAAAAAUAUAUAAUCCAUAAAAACACGCUCUAAUGUAAAACUGCGACCCUUGACAUCACAGACAUCUCAAACUAAGUGUGCUUCACUUGAAAAGUGCCCAUCACCGUGUGUUUUUUUUUCAAAUAUUUACAGUAAAAGAUCCAUAAUGGUCCAGGCUGAGUAGGUCUAUCAGAGAGCUCACAUUCGCAGGUCUGCAGCCUCUUUGAAAGAAAAACAGCACACACACUCUGCAGGUCUUGUCAGUGUCUUAAACACAAUGUAAUCCGUCAUGCUUAAUUUCCUCCUGUCCCUCAUAAAUCACCCUGAAACCUGUGCAGACAGACAGGAGAGUGUAAACACCUGUUGUGGUGCGUGUCUCUGUUUUAACAUAUGAGUAAAUGUGAGUGAGUGUCAGUCUGUUGUAUGGGGGUGGUAAUGGAGGGGGGUGGAUUCUGAGAUGCUGGCUGAAGAAAAGGUGUGUGUGUGUGUGUGUGUGUGUGUGUGUGGGGUGGUGGUGGGGUGACUGUGAAAUGUAAAACAGCUGCAGUCAGCUACAAAGAAGUCUCAGCUGGAAUAACUCACUCACAGAAGUUACUCUGCUCUCCUGAGUGCUGGCAGAUUGGUGCGUCCCAAAACAGAGGAGAGCAGACCCGUCCUCUCUUCUCCUCCAUCCAUCUGCACAGACACAAAGGAGCUACCCCUGCUAUCCCUGAUUUAUUCUCUGAAGAUCUAGAGGUAUACUGUUGUUACCAAGUUCCACUUGUGACAGCAACUAUUCCUCUCAGUUUGUGGGCAUGAGCUGACAGUUUACACACCUGCACUACCAAGUAACUUGGAAACUCUUCUUCUCCCCAGGUGGUGCAGAAGUCUCUCUCUUUUUUCCUUUGGGCUUUGGAGUCUUUUUCUCCUCUGUAAACUCUGUGCUAUACAGGAGUCUGCGGAAAACAGCAUGUCAUUGGCACUUUUGGCAUUGGCAUUUUUGUCCCUUUAACCCUGGAACACUAUCGCUAAAAUUAGUAACACCAUCACUAUCGCCGGGUGAUUUUUUACCUGAAAUAAUUUACCCAAGAAAAAGUACUUGUCAUCAAAAUAAAUCAAAAUAGGACAUGACAAAUUAAAGUAGUUUUCUUCCAUUUUCAACUGUGCAAUGUCUAAAGGGAGGGGAAAAAGGUGCCAUGAGGGGACCAUAUAAAAAUGCAACAAAAUAACUGAAAUUAGACAUUCAUGAACAAAAAAAUCCUAAAAAAAUUAUAUAUAUAGAAACUGUAAACUUAGUUCCUUUUACACCCAUUCCUGGGGCAUGUGAUUCUUCCCUGGUGAAGACUCAGGGUCCUUGGCACAAUAACAGCUGCAAGAGAGAGAACCAAAAUAUGUCAUAUUUUGAGUGAGUAAAAAUUAUUCAUAACCACUGCGCUAAAUAAAGAUAGCAUGCAAAUUCCAGGACCACUCUUACUGACCUUAUUCGCCUAUAUGCAGCUAUCAAAUCCACCCAAACCUACUUUACCCUCUAUCACUAUUGCCGGGUGAAAAUCCAAAAAGUUUUGGAUCAGGGAAACAAAUAUGUCUUCAAAGAUGUCAAAGGCAAUGCUGAAGCAACCCAGGGACCCAUGAUACUAGGGUAUACUAGAACUAGAGUUCUAGGGUUGAAGCCUGCGGACACAUCAGCUGAUCAGUGCACAGCAGGUGGAAGAACACAUAUGUGUUGCAUCUGCAAAUCGUGCGAAAACAAAUGGCCUUUCUGAUGGCAAAGUGCCAAAAAACAAUAGCUUAUUAUAGCAUCCGCUUACACUAAGAUGAGUGUUUGAGCCAGCGUCUCUCAAAAUUAGCUAAAUUACUAGGAAGACUCGACCCCUUCUUCAUAAAACUGUAGCCUAGCUUUCAUGACGGUUCUCCCUGCAGUUUCUCAUUAAAGAAGCAGAGCGGACCUGCAACCAUUGUGGCUGGCACAUGCAGCAUUUACUGGUGACAUAUAACUCAUACAACCCCACAUCAAACAUACCAAGCUAUAACAAGAUAAACAUGUGGUUGGUUGUUUGUUUGUUGAGCUAGUCUUACAACAGCCCCUUCUUCCCUAUCUCAGAGAGGGAGAGUGAGGUCAUUGACAGCAGGAUGUUGGGACACAGACACAGACAACACAAACACAGGCCUGACACUGUUGCCUAAGGUAGGAAAUAAUGUAAGUAAUCUUGAGAGCGUUCACAUGUUCAUGUGUGUACAGGGAUGGAAGAGCGCGUGUGCACAUGGCUGUGUUUAGGGCCUAGAGGCUUGUUUAGCUGACCUCAGUGAAAGCAAACCUCAUGACAGAAGGUCUGGCAUUGUCUGUGUGCCCGGGCUGCUCUGGAGCCAGACGGUCUGCCGGCCGCCAGCUUUGCUUGCUUAUAACGGCUGAGAACAUCCGAUCCCCUUGGGGAGGACAGGAGGGGUGGGGUGGGGGGUGGGGGGGUCUACUGCACUGCUCGCCACUUUCCUCUCUGUCUUUAUCUCUGCUCUUUAGACAAGGAACAAGCAUUAGCCAGGUCAUCAACUUGUAUGUUUAUUAUGUAUGUGUAUGCAUGUGUGUGUGUGUUUGCGCGUGUGUGUGUAAAAGACAGAGAGCAGGAAACACCAAGAGGGCAGAGUAAAAAAGGGACAGGUUUGGAGUUAAAGAGUCAAACCAGAAAUGGAAAAUUGUGUCCAGGAGAACAGAGAAAACACACUCAGACCAGAUCCUCUUCUUUCUUGAAUGUGAUCUGAUCAUCACAGGAAAAACAGAAUAUCAGCUAACGUCUCAGUGUCAAAGUGUUUCAUUGAUGAGUGUUUCUUCUUUCAUCUCUCCAUCCAGUUCACUUUUACUUAUUCAUCUAUCACACAAUGAGCAGGCUGAAGCUUUGUGCUCUGACAGGAACAAAUAGCCUCUAAUCACCACCAGACGCCAAUGUUCAACCAUGACAGAACACUUCCACUCCCUCCCUGAGCUGUGUGUUCGGUGUGUCCUUCCAACAAACCCUGCAUGGACUCCACACGUGGCUCUUGGACGAGUGUUGGCUAUUCUUGAAAAGCCAUGAAAGACCGAAAUAUGGAACAUUUUUGAUGUUUUUAAGUUGCAUAACUCCUGGGUGGAGUAUUUUCCCUGCCACAAGUGGUUUAAAAAUAGAAAGUCUCCGUUCCCGGUGCUUAGCGUAAGGUGGAAAGCAAACAAGUUGGCGGGAAGGUGGACAAGCCUUACCUUUGCUGCUUCGACUCCACUCACGAGUCACUGUGGGAACAGGAGGACAUCUCCAUGACUGCAUGGAAAAGGGAAAACCAAAGCGAUGGGAGGAAAAACUUUUAGGGUGCAGAUACAUGUGCAAGGAGAGGAAAGGGACAAACCUAAAAAUAGUGAAAGAGGAUCUGAACAGAAGAACAUAGUUGUACCAAACGACAAAAAUCAACUAAACGUGAAACAGGACAACAAAAUCAGUGAUACCGACCACAGCAGUCCAGUACACAGAGGAUAAAAACAGAGAUUUAUUUCACAGUUUUCACCUCGUAAUUCAAUUUUUUACGGUGCCCAUUACAUAUCUCAACACUUUCAUUGUUUCAUAGGAGGAACAUUUUUUCUCGUAAUGGAAGCUGAGAUGAACCCUCUGUACAUUUCCUGCUUGGCAUCGAAUGACAAACUGACACAGUUAACAACUACCCGGUGAACAACUACAUUUAAUUUCGUUGAGUCAGAUAUUUCCAGAGAACAGGGGGUGGGGAGUGACUCCACAUGAAUGGUUAAACCAGUUUGUUUACAUCAGCUGUUUGGAUAGGCAACUACUGUAUGUUAGGUGACAGUUGUAGACAGAAUAAAAUGUGAACAGAGUCAAUGUUGGUGUCUGAAUGUAAAUUUUGACGCUUAAUGUUUGCAGGUCCCAUGUUAGAAAGCUAACUCAUCCUAACUUUGGCUCAACCUAAACACAAAGAGGUGCCUUCUAGCAAACAGCUACAAUGCGCCUGCCUGUCCAUCAAGUCAGUUGUGUUCCCAACUGCCCCUAGUGAUGCAAAUUUAUAAAUCUUAGCCUCACUAUACUUCAAUUUAAUAUGUGUCCGUUUUUUCUGUAAAAAUAUACAUUUUAAUGUGGGACCCAAUGAGGAUUCUUUGCCUUUCCCUCCAUUUAAAGGGAUAUUCCAGCGUAAAACUAAUUUAGGGUCAAACACACCGUAACACCAAGUUAGACACCCCCUCGAGAGAUGAAUGUUGCAGACUGCUUGCUUAACUAGUUAUACCAACUUUCGUAAAAAACGCAUGACAGCGAUACACAGCGGUCUGAGGAGCCACAAACAAACCUCAACCAAAACACCACUCUAUAGCCACAAAUAAUGCUCAGAACAGCACCUAACUUCAUCAACAGUACAUAUAGGGUCCUAGGAAGAACAUCAUAAAUGUUCUUCCUUGAGCUGCGUCACCCCGCUGUAGUCAAUAAUGGACUUGCCCAAGGUCUCACUACAAACAAACGGCUGCUGGAAGAGAGUAGGUGAGUUGUGUUUAGUCUCUUUGCUGAAGAAAUUAGGCAAAGUUAAAAAAAUGUUUGGUGGCUAGUGCUAUGGCUGGGACCCUAUAUGUACUGUUGAUGAAGUUAGGUGCUGUUCUGAGCAUUGUUUGUGGCUAUAGAGUGGAGUUUUUGUUGAGGUUUGUUUAUGGCUCCUCAGACCACUGUGUAUUGCUAUCCUGCAGUCAUUACUAAAGUUGGUGUAACUAGUUAAGCAAGCGGUCUGCAACAUUUAUCUUUCAAGGGGGUGUCUAACUCGGUGUUACGGUGUGUUUGACCCUAAAUUAGUUUUAUGCCAGAAUAUCCCUUUAAGAAAAAUAUGCUAAGACAAUCUCACAGUUUUCCAAAGGGCUCAGCAUCAAAAUUUAGAUAGCGUUUAGCAGCUAGAUGUUGAACAUAGCAGAGCAUUAAAUGUGGCCUUAAAGAGUACACCAAAUUAAUGGUUGUGUUGAUUUGUAAUUGCAGGGCUCGAAAACAAAUGUUUGCUAACAGCUAAAUCAUACAAACAUUAACAGGCUAAACGAGGCCACAUUUGUGAUUACAGCUGGUUGCAGUGCUAAAUAGUGGCCACAAUAAUUGGUGAGUGUUUGAAGCACUGAUACUAAUACGCGGGCGCGUAAAAGCAGAAGGAAGUGCCACAAAAAGCUUGACUGUGAUGUGAUCAAAUGGAAACUUCAAUUAACAGAGGUAGAAGCAGUUACUUUUCCCACAGCAAAGAGACUUUUUUCUAAACACACGUCACCCUCAUCAGACCAUGUUUCUUUUUGUUAACAUUUUCAUCUUGUAAAUCCUUAAUAGCCUAGAGUUUAUCUUACAUGGUGGGAACAGUGAGCAGUCAUCUGCUGCACAGAUCCUUCAGUGUGUGUGUGUGUGAGUGAGUGUAUGCGUGUGUCCAGUAGCUGCUCUGCUCUACACUCUUACAACACAGGACGAGGCCCAAACAACACCGCACAUCUGGAGCCUCAGCUGGCCUCCAGCCACAAGUACUCCCUUCUCCUUCUCAUGGGAUGUACAUUACAGCACUUUGUAAAUGUACAUUUUCAUACCUACAGCCCGAGCCCCUGCUCAAAUAGGGGACAUCUUUGUGGACAGAGGUCAAACAAAGUUUACUCAGAGCAUGUGAAGAACAUACUGCCUGGUUUGUUUGAAGGUGUGUCUCAGGCAAUAAUAGCUCUGAUAAGCAGCACAUCUUGAUUUUCAUAGGACCCAUGUUACUAACAUGAACCAACACUUCACAGAGAUCCACUCAAUGCAUUCUGCUGUGGUGACAUGGCAGCAGUGACCUUUGGCAGGUCAGUGAUCAGAUAGAGAGUAAUUCUAAAGAAUGCACACAAGCCACGCAGAUUGUUAAUCCUUCAGAUCAAAUGAUCACCGCCACGGCCUGUGACUUCAUCUUCACUCUGUACAGCUGUGGGAACUCACCACAUAUCAGUCCCUGAUCAGUAUGACGAUCUUUGUCAAGCGGCACAUCAAAGGAGGCGCGAGUUAGUUCAUACUGCAAACAGUAAAGUACUGUUGUAUCUCAGAACUGAGGUUGUCAAGAUGUUGUCAAGUUUGGUGUCAGACAUUAUAAAUAACAUUAUCAAAAAAAGUCAUCUUCUCGCUGAUUUUCUAGUUUGCUUUGUGAGUUGUGUAAAGGCACCAGUAUUGAAGAAGAACUAUGCCAUACCCAAUUAAAAUGUCCUUACUGUAGCUUUAGGACAAUCUGCAUGUGACUAGCAUCAGACCAAAAGAAACCCGCCAUCCCCCACAAUGUUGAGUUGAGAAGACACUGUGGACCAAAGCAAAGGAAAAUGCUGGAGUUGUGUAAAGUUAGAUUAAAGCUCCAGUGAGGAACUUUUGGUUUGUGUCAGUUAAAAAAAAAAAGCCAAUCUUGGACUUGAUGGUUUCAUUUAGGUCCGUGUAUUAUCCAUCCAUUCAAUUAUUCCAUUCAAUCUGGUAAACGAAAAACGAAAAUACGAGUCAAUAUUUUGUUUAUUUGUUUUUCUGUAUAACCAAAAAAUAAAAAAAAAUAGUGAUUGUUUUCGUAUUUUCAGUAUAUAAUAAUGAAGGAAACUAAAAUGAAAUAAUAAAUCUUAUUUACAUUUAUUGAUUUUGAGUGCGCCUGUUUUGAGCAUACGUGCAUGGAGGCUACAUUGGCCUUCUCAUGAUCCUCAGCGACAGUUACCAUGGCGAAAGAUGCGACAGAGCGGUUUGACCUCCAAAAUCUUACGUUGUAACAGAGCUCUGGUUGUAAUUUUUUCUACAGUCAUAUCUCCCUCCUUCAGCGUGACCCUCCUGGUGGCUUUGAUUAAUACGUAGGAUGCGUCCAUCUCCAUGACAGAAAGGCCUGGAGUUUUUGGUCCAUGUUGUUGGCUACUUUGUUGCGCAAUGCACAUGUGCGAACAGAAGAAAGGCAUCGUGGGAAACGGGGACAUCAAUAACCUGAAAACGGAAAGGAGAUUUAUUAUUUUGUUUGCAUUUCCAUCUCUAUUAUACAUUCUGUUUUGAACUGAAAAUACGAAACAAACACUAAUCUUUUAUUUUUCGGUGAUAUAGAAAAACAAUAAACAAAUUAUUGACUCGUUUUUUCGUUUUUCAUUUACUAGAUUGAAUGGAAUGAUUGAAUGUACGGAUAAUACAUGGACCCAUUUACUUUGUCAUGCAAAGACAUCAAUAGUAAUUUUAAUGUGUUUCUUUAUAAGAACUUUAAGGACUGUAUACAGUUACUUUAGCCUAUGACAAACAUAUUUGCUUCCCAGGUGCCAUUUUUGUUCAUAUAUUGAGUUUUCCCAUGUAUACCAAUAAUUUAAUAAUGACAUGAUGAUGAUGGAACAGCAUGGUGUGACUCAAUAAGAGAGCCACCACUCACCUCACACAGGCUCAGCUGAGGUUUGUAAGAAAUUAUAGAUGAGAAAUAGUUUACUUCUCCAGCAGACACAGACAGACAAACCAUUAUCCCUGAUAACAUUAAAUCUAUGUGGAAUCAGAAAAAUGAAAAGUGUUUUCAUAUCUACAGCAUGUCUAUGCUUUAAUAAGCUGAAAUUAAGUUAUUCAGUUUCAUACCCGCUGCCAGACACCUAAAUAAUCUCUUUUGUACAUUGUAGAGGAGCCAAUUCUUUCCCAGCCCCCCUCCCUCUCUCUUCAUCUUCCUUUCUAACUGAACAAGGGUUGACAGGUUCUUGUCGUUCCUGGCCAGUCGGAGGGAGAGUCAACAAAAGAGUCCUUGUUUGAGACUUACCCCUGUCAGGCUGCGCACUUUGAUAUUAAAAACUCAGCUAAAGGAGGAGGGGGUUUAAAGAGGGGGAGCAGCGAGGGGAGGAUGAAAAGGAUGAAAACAAACACCUACUGUCUCUGCAGUCCGUGUCUGUAGGUGUAACCUCAUAAUGGACUCACAAAUAUUUGUCCAGUCAAAACAAAAUAAAGCAGCUCUUUGACUUCUUGUGUAGUAAGUCUGAUCAGCAUGUCUCCAACCUGUCCCACUGUAACAACCACCUGCCUAUUCUCUUGUGCGCUCACACAGCACUCAUAUUGACACAGGGGGGCUCGCUUUAGUUUUGAACACACACCUCUCAGACUGGACCCGGGCCAUCACCAGAGGGGAGAAAUCCCCUGAUACUGUACCUCACUGACUGAGGCUGUGCCAGAGACCUGAAAUAUAAGCAGAUGCCUGGUUGUGCCCAAAAACGUGCGCACGCCAGCGAAAAUAAACCAACACUGAUGACCAAAUUUACCCUGCCCUCAGUUUCAACCUAUACCCAAGAGUGAGCGCUUGGCAGGAGAGUUCAAUACUGCAUUUUGGAGAAGAACUUAACUUUCACACUAGGGCGCCACGGGACAUAAAACACAUUAUUAAAAAUAUGAAUUUCAUCACAUCACUUACAAACACAUCAUUCACCCCCUCCUUCAAUUUGCAGCCUGUUCUCUGGGCCUGGAGGAAUGAACGGCAGCAACAGAGAUAAGUCUGUAUGCUUUCCAAGCAGAGGUGACAAGCUGCAGCAUGUCGGCCAUUCAGGAAGAAUGCAGCAGCAAGUGUAAUGAGGAUUUUCUUUUACUUUCUGCUCGCAAGGCGCCUGCUAUUAUCCUGAUUUUGAGAAGCCCUGAGGGCAGUUAUUACAGCAUUUAUAUUAAUUCCCUUGGAUUGCUUCAUUUCGGUUCAUACAGGCCAGAGAGAGAAAGACUCGGGCAAUUAGAGGAAUACCAGAAGAGAGUGGAUGAGCUCAGUGAUGGCACAGAGACGGCAUUGAUCCGUGUGCUGCUUGAUGAUUGGCAUCAUUGUCCUCCUGAUGACAGUAAGAUCUCUACUUGCCUGAAGUACCAGGGCCUGUUGUACUGUGGCUGACCCGGCUUUCUGUAGCUGGGGGCUCAUUCCUAUUAGCAAUAGUUUGCCAUGUUAAUGGCUGUUAGAACAUCAUCAGGCUCGUCAGCUCUGACAGGCUGCCGCCACUCGUACCUGCAGCCACAGGCGAGGGGAUGGGCAUCCACAUAAAUCUGCAGAGGAAUCUGUGAGAACGACGCCAUCAUGCACAGAAACCAGCCGACAAGAGUGGAAAAGACAACAAAGCUAGAGCGGCUCGUUCACAUACAACCUCCACCUGGGUAACCCGGGUAACCUUGAACUGUUUUCUACAAUUUGUUUGCACUUCUAACAAAGAAUGAUAUUCUCACUAAACUCAUCAGAUGAUCACAUAUGAAACCAAGAUUUUAUUAAACACAUUCAACCCCAAACUGGCUUUAAUGGACUGAUCAGGUUCUGUAUAUCUUAAGGAUUGAGUAUAGCAGCAUUUACCAUAGAUGACUUUUACCAGUAUAGCAACACACAUACUUUAAUGUACAAAUAAUUAUAAUUCAAUAAAAUCCUGUUUGCUGUUAUGAAAUAGGUCAUUCUGUCUUUAAUUUAAGAAUAUUUUAAGACCAUUGCUUUCUUACUUUAACUUUUUUUCAAGUAUCUUUAUGCUAUACUACUUUAUACUUCUACCUUAGUCUGUCUCACACAACUGCUUUUAAGAUUCAAACACACCACAUAUCAGGCAUAAAGGCCAUUUUCACUUCAAAAUAAAUACUUUUUUCUUUAUAUUCAGCAGAAACUCUCAGUCCUAUAUCCACAUUGUUGUUUUUCCACUUCAUUAAAGGACCUGAACGCUACUCAAAGCAAACACAGUCUCUCCACUCAUUCCUGCUUUUUUAAAUCCUCUCUUCUCCUGUCGUCCUCCUGCAUGCUCCUCUCCCUCUCUCCUCCUAUUCCCCCCUCUCUCUUACAGCCAGGUGCUGACAGAAGUUAGCAUUCACAAUCUUUCUGUGGAGGCUUUAACAGGAGCCAGAUGAAAGACAGCAGCAGAUUAAGAUGUUAAACAGCCUCAGAUGGGAUGGCACGGGAUGCGGGAAGCAGUCCGGGCCGGAGUGCGGUGGAAAUGGAGACAAACAAAAGCCCAGGAAUGUCAGAUGGAGAUCAUGUUGCAUGGCCCUUGAGGAAUAAUUCUUAAUAUUAACACUGGCUGGAAAUCCCUUGGGGUCUCUAAGGACCCCACAAAAGCGCAGAGCCUGGGGACUGAGCACUUUGAGCCUCUGAGUUUUUGAUUAAGUUUUAUGCAACAGCGACCCUCAACCUGGACAAAUGCUUUAGAAAAAACAAUCAUAUUUUUUAUGUAAAUUGUUGCCUCAAAACAAUGGAUAAAUCUCUGCUUGGAGGGGAUUGUGUUGCUGAUCCAUAGUAUUGAGCAGACAAGCC